GCCGAUGAAGGACGGGACGAACACCGAUAUGCUCCGGGGAACUGUAAGUAAGUUUUGAUCCGGAGAUUUCCGAAUGGGGCAACCCACCAUAUUGAGAAGUAUGGUAUAUACUAAGUGAAUACAUAGCUUAGUGUAAGGUACACGCGGUGAACUGAAACAUCUCAGUAGCUGCAGGAAGAGAAAACAAAUGUGAUUCCCAUAGUAGCGGCGAGCGAAAUGGGAAGAGGCCAAACGAUCAUGCUUGCAUGAUCGGGUUGUAGGACUCAAGAAUGGA
rnacentral:rRNA from 1 species